AGUGAACGCUGGCGGUAGGCCUAACACAUGCAAGUCGAACGGCAGCACAGUAAGAGCUUGCUCUUACGGGUGGCGAGUGGCGGACGGGUGAGGAAUACAUCGGAAUCUACUUUUUCGUGGGGGAUAACGUAGGGAAACUUACGCUAAUACCGCAUACGACCUACGGGUGAAAGCAGGGGAUCUUCGGACCUUGCGCGAUUGAAUGAGCCGAUGUCGGAUUAGCUAGUUGGCGGGGUAACGGCCCACCAAGGCGACGAUCCGUAGCUGGUCUGAGAGGAUGAUCAGCCACACUGGAACUGAGACACGGUCCAGACUCCUACGGGAGGCAGCAGUGGGGAAUAUUGGACAAUGGGCGAAAGCCUGAUCCAGCCAUGCCGCGUGUGUGAAGAAGGUCUUCGGAUUGUAAAGCACUUUUAGUGGGGAGGAAAGGCAGUAAGUUAAUACCCCGCUGUUUUGACGUUACCAAAAGAAUAAGCACGGGCUAACUUCGUG
rnacentral:rRNA from 1 species